UUCGCCCUUAGAGUUUGAUCCUGGCUCAGAGCGAACGCUGGCGGCAGGCUUAACACAUGCAAGUCGAGCGGGCCCUUCGGGGUCAGCGGCAGACGGGUGAGUAACGCGUGGGAACGUGCCCUUCGGUUCGGAAUAACCCUGGGAAACUAGGGCUAAUACCGGAUACUCCCCUUGGGGGAAAGGUUUACUGCCGAAGGAUCGGCCCGCGUCUGAUUAGCUAGUUGGUGAGGUAACGGCUCACCAAGGCGACGAUCAGUAGCUGGUCUGAGAGGAUGAUCAGCCACACUGGGACUGAGACACGGCCCAGACUCCUACGGGAGGCAGC
rnacentral:rRNA from 1 species